GACCUGUUGCUGAGGUGAUCUGAUGAUAUAGGUCUUGCCUUUCAUUUUAACUGCCAUUCUGGCAACUGACCGUUGGCAGUAAACGCAGCUUAGUUGUCUCAGAGGACUCACAAUGGGAUGUGUUUAUAGUUGUUUCCUCGAAGAUUACGAUGAGGACCUGGUGCAGGAAGCUUCAUCUGAAGAUGUCCUGGGCGUUCAUAUGGUGGACAAAGACACAGAGAGAGACAUUGAGAUGAAAUGGCAAAUAGGGCGACUACGGGAGCUCCACCUAUACAGCAUAUGGAAGAAGUACCCAGAGGCGAUGAAGACAUCCUUGGGAGUUUCACAACGUGAGCGUGACGAAGGCUCCUUGGGCAAGCCAUUGUGUCCACCCGAGAUACUCUCGGAGACGUUGCCAGGCUCUGUGAAGAAAAGUGUACGCUUUCCAUCAGAAGAUCAUCUAGAGGAGUUUAUAGCAGAACAUCUCCCUGAAGCAUCCAAUCAGAGUCUCCUCACUGUUGCCCAUGCAGACACAGGCACCCAAACCAACGGUGACCUGGAAGACCUGGAGGAGCAUAUGCCAGGGCAGACAGUCUCUGAGGAAGCCACAGGGGUUCACAUGAUGGAGGGGGACCCAGACACACUGGCCGAACUUCUGAUCAGGGAUGUACUUCAGGAGCUGUCCAGUUACAACGGCGAGGAGGAGGACCCAGAGGAGGUGAAGACAUCCUUGGGAGUUCCACAACGUGGUGACCUGGAAGACCUGGAGGAGCAUGUGCCAGAGCAGACAAUCUCUGAGGAAGCCACAGGGGUUCACAUGAUGCAGGUGGACCCAGCCACACCGGCAAAGAGUGACCUGGAAGACCUGGAGGAGCAUGUGCCAGAGCAGACAAUCUCUGAGGAAGCCACAGGGGUUCACAUGAUGCAGGUGGACCCAGCCACACCGGCAAGGAAAUUGGAAGACUCCACCAUUACAGGCAGCCACCAGCAGAUGUCAGCAAGUCCUUCCUCUGCACCUGCAGAAGAAGCAACAGAAAAGACCAAAGUGGAAGAGGAAGUGAAAACCAGAAAGCCCAAGAAGAAAACCAGGAAGCCCAGCAAGAAAAGCCGGUGGAAUGUCCUGAAAUGUUGGGACAUUUUUAAUAUAUUUUAGAGACCUCUGAAGAUUCCUCGAACACCAGGAAGGGCCCCGAUGUGGGGAUGUCAACAUGGCUCAGACUUGAUGUGGAUCGUGAUCAUUUCGGGAAAUGUGUUACUCCAAAAACUUUUAUAAUCUUUGCUUAAUUUGUUUUUAAAUACUUUCCUGGCUGGGCGUGGUGGCUUAUGCCUGUAAUCCCAGCACUUUGGGAGGCCGAGGCGGGUGGAUCACCUGAGGUCAGGAGUUCAAGACCAGCCUGGCCAACAAGGUGAAACCCCGUCUCUACUAAAAAUACAAAAAUUAGCUAGGCGUGGUGGCACACUCUUGUAGUCCCAGCUAUUUGGGAGGCUGAGGAAGGAGAAUCACUUGAACUCAGGAGGCAGAGGUUGCAGUGAGCCGAGAUCAUGCCACUGCACCCCAGCGCCUGGCUACAGAGUGAGACUUUGUCUCAAAAAAAAAAAAAGAACAAAAAAAUUCUGACUUUAACCUCUGUUUUUCAGAGGGCACAAAUUGUUCUUGUAUUGUUUCCAUUUUACAUUUUUUUCUUGAAGUUAUUUUCCAAUUGUUUUCAUUCUUUCUGAAGUUUUGUUUACUCAGUUUUAAGUUUUUGUAAUUUUGAUAGACUUCUUUUGUGCUUCCAUUUUCUUAAUGACUUUUACCUCAUUUUUAAAAUAAAUCCAUAGUAUGGAUGAUAUUGAUGAUGAAAUGUCUUACGAUGAUCAUUUAGAGGUUUAUUUUGAACAACUGGCAAUUCCAGGAAUGAUGGAAUAAAACAUACGAAGUAGAAGGACUGGAACCUCCAGAAAAAGUACUUUAAGUUACCUACAGGUGACCCUAGUCAGGUAUGAAUUGAUAAGAAAUGCCUGCACCUUCCCUCCUUCCUAUCUUUCCCUUGCCUACAGAAAAUUAAAAGGCAAAACAAUAGACAUCUGCAUAUUCUUCAUUCAGAUCAACCAGUGGCUAGCAUUUGCCACCUUUUGCAGUUUCUUUCUCUUUCCGCAAAUGAAAACAGUAGCCUAAAGUGUCAGUUUCAACCAGAAAAUAACAGCUCUGAUUUCUCAUGGCUCACACUCAUCUGAAACGACUCAGGUAGAGGCUGAGGAAGGCCGUGUUGUUUGUCUACCUGGGACUACACCUACUGAAAGAAGUUCUCAAGUUCUGAUUGAGUUCUAAAAUUUUUUGAAGAUUGGAAUUCUUCAUAUGUAAAAAGAGAAGAGAAAGACAUUCUUGAUUUUGGUGACUAGAGUUGUAGAUGCUGGAAGCUUUGCCGCUAACAUUGAUGAACCAGAUGCAUGUCACCAGCCCAUCACAGUGAUUCUUAAUGCCGGCACCAUGGCCCGGCACUGCCACGUUUUCCAAGGAACCUGCCGGAGCUCCUGCGGAAGCUGCUCCUCGGGCGAUGGAGUCCCUUCGCUGGUAGGCCCUUCUUCAGUCACCACAGGAUGCCUGCCAUUCAUGAACAGGAAGGAGAGGACGGGCUUUGAAUAAAAAACAGGAUCCAGGAAAUAUUUGUGAGGCCAUUUGGACUUCAGUGUGAAAUGGUGUUAAAAGAUGAAGUCAUUUAUUCAAGAAGUAAACAUCUGCCACCUGGACUGUGCUCAGACAUUUCAUUGAUUUUGUUUAAUAAACAUUUUCUGGCUUUGG